AUUGAACGCUGGCGGCAGGCCUAACACAUGCAAGUCGAACGCGUGGCGGACGGGUGAGUAAUGUCUGGGACACUGCCUGCUGGAGGGGGAUAACUACUGGAAACGGUAGCUAAUACCGCAUACCAUCAGAUUUGCCCAGAUGGGCGUAGCUUGUUGGUGGGGUAAGGGCUCACCAAGACGGCGAUGCCUAGCUGGUCUGAGAGGAUGACCAGCCAACCUGGAACUGAUACACGGUCCAGACUCCUAGGGGAGGAAGAAGUGGGGAAUAUGGCACAAUGGGCGCAAGCCUGAUGCAGCCAGGCCGCGUGUAUGAAGAAGGCCUUCGGGUUGUAAAGUACUUUCAGCGGGGAGGCGUUACCCGCAGAAGAAGCACCGGCUAACUCCGUGCCAGCCGCCGCGGUAAUAC
rnacentral:rRNA from 1 species